GGUCCUGAAAGGUAAGAGGAACAGUCUUUAAAAAGGCAUCGGGAGAAGCAGUUAAUUCACCACCAAGCCAGACUGUGAAGGCACACCUUACGUCACUUGAAAGAUUCUCGCUCCAGACCUAAGGGAGGUCUCCUGGCUCGGAUGUUCUGCGUGUGUCAACCGGGAUUUCAAUGCGCUUCCAUUUAAGAAUCCCAGAAUGUUAUACUGUGGAUAUGGGCAAACUAAUACGUGGAAAGACAGAAGACGAGCAGUAUAUCGCAGAAGAACAAAGUCUGACAGGAUGGAUACCACCCACCUUCGAGACUUGAUCAAGACAGCAUCGUGAUGGCAAAAGACACAAACAGGUUCUGAAAUGGGUGCAAAAUGAAACGAAGAGAAGCGCGAGAAGAGUCUGUGCAGCGUGCGCACGUGCGAGCCGUCUCGUUCCUCGUGAGGGUCCUGAUGUCACUGAGCACCACCCGGGACGCCUGCUACCCCACCGCCAGACAGGAGCGUGCCUGCUUCCUGGCAAAUAUACUAUAAACCCCCAAGGACUGAAAGAAACCCUUUCUGAAAUCCGCAUUCCGAUUCAGUUCUCCACGAUCCGAGGAGCGCAGGCCGCCUCUGCCUCAGCCACUCCGACCGCUACACGUCAACACAGAAUCACGACUGACUGACGCCACCAGUGUCCAAGAGCCACGCGGCCACUUCACGUGAUGAUGAAAACUAAACGAGGUUUCUGGGGAUUCCAGCAGGCGUUCUCCUGAGGUUUUCCUAGUAAAAUCUAACCUAGCAGGUGAUAUACUUUAAUCCUCUCCCUAUGCUUGCUAAGAUUUCCUCACUUUGGGGUCAUUUUCAGUUUCCACAGUGAAGAUUUCAGGGUUUAUUUUGUCCAGUUCCACGUGGGACAGAACUGAAAUGCCCCACAUUCUGAUCAUCUCCUAUGAGCCUUCAUCCACUGGCCCUGAUUUAAAUACACUGGGGACCCAGUUUCUAACUGAGCUGAUUCUGGAUCAGAACCUCAUCCGUGUAUGAUGAAACCCCACCAACUCCGUUCACCCUCACAGCAGCAAAACCAUCCACUAACAGGUACAGAGAAUUUAAAGGCUUAAUAUUAAAACCAAAGGAAGUAAACCCUGCAAACCACAAAGAACAGUUUAGAAUUUUCCAUCCAUCCACCCCCCCAAAAAUGCCAGUAAGGACCUGAUGACUGUAUUACAGGCACAAUGGCUGGAACGCUCAGACUUCUUUCAGCUAGGCGCAAGCAACGGUGUGCAGAAGAAGCACUCUCCUGGGCUAGAUGCACAGGUGCGCGUACAACUCUUUGCGGCCUCCUUAAGAGACUUCCGGGGAUGGUGUGGGCCAGGCACGUGGUAUUCUUACGUGCUGUCUCUCAAUCCUGACCUCCAUGAGAUGUCCUUUACUGAGUCGGUGUGGAAAGGCCCACCAUCAUCUCCGUGGAGGAAAGCACUAUAAUAAAGUCACAACUACUCUUCUGUGUAGUCCCCUAGCUGCAAAUCCUGCAGUGUGCCUAUGGGCGUUCAGCAGUUGCUUCCUAUUCUUCCCGAUUCCAAUGGAAAGAGCCACAACACAGACGCCUGACUCCACCAGCGGGGCCAGACCGGAGUCCUGGAGAGUACGGACGCCGUGCCGAGGGCAGAGCUUGCCCAGAGCCCGCUCUAACACAGGGGGGUCCGCGUGGGGUCUGCCUUCUCUCUGGACAGCUGCAGGGAGGGCAAAGGCGGGACUGUCCCUGUAAGGGCAGAACGCCGACACCAGAAUGACAAGGCCUGUGACGCUCUGCAUCAUAGGUGUCCACCACCCGAGGAGAGGGGCUCCGUGACGAACUCUGCGGCCCCAGCAGCCAGGUAGCUGAACGGUAACGGAAGGAGCCUCAUCAGAACCGGUCUUCCUCCGCCAGCUCUAAAAACACUAAUAAAACCACCACAUAUUUAUUAACCUUUGCCUCUAAUUAGGAAUUGUUCUAAAAAUCCACCACCAAGCAACCUCUACCAGUUCUCACCUGGUGUGCGUUCUCCAAAUUCACGUUCAGCUGGUUUGAAGGCUGUGAGGAGAGGUACGACCAGAGGACUCGGGAGGACCAGGACGCAAAACUAAAACCCCAUUUCCCAUCUUCUUACCACACCAAACCUACUUUCUGCACACACGUGACUGUUUCUUUUGCUUAAGUGUUUCCAAGUAUAAGCAACACAAUUUCACAGAAUCGACUGUGGCUAAACUCAUCACAUAUUCAUAUAAAGCAUACAGGAAGAACUAUUUUUUAAAUGUCAUUUCCUUACAAAAUAGGAAGACAGGAUCAUCGUACAACCAGCCAAAAUGGAAGCCAGCACAACGUCAGGUGGGAUUUCUGUACCACUCCUCCCAAGGAUGGGGGUAAACAUCUCGAAUACUGCCCAGAUGAGGUACAGUGUGUAAAGAUAAGGAACAAACAUCCCCGAGAGAUACAAGGCAAUAAAUUUUCCUUGGGCACCUAGGGAAAAAGAGAAAGAAAUCACACAUCUUUGAAAUUCCACAGUGAGACACAGAUUUGCAUAGCACUGCUGUACCUCACACAGAACAUUUCACUCAGGGACGUUAAAAUACAAGUAAGAAUGAAAUGGAACGUAGGUAAUACAUCAUGCAUUCAUAAAUGUGAGAAUGGGAUGGGGUAUAAGGUAGAAAAUAAACAUCCGUGUGAUCUGAAAAUUUAAAACAAA